GAUGAACGCUAGCGGCAGGCCUAAUACAUGCAAGUCGAACGGUGUCUUCGGACAUAGUGGCGCACGGGUGCGUAACACGUAUGCAACCUACCUUACAUUGGGGGAUAGCCUUUCGAAAGGGAGAUUAAUACCGCAUAAGACAGUAGCUGGGCAUCCAGCAGCUGUUAAAGAUUUAUCGAUGUAAGCUGGGCAUGCGUCCAAUUAGCUAGUUGGUGAGGUAACGGCUCACCAAGGCAAUGAUUGGUAGGGGAACUGAGAGGUCAAUCCCCCACACUGGCACUGAGAUACGGGCCAGACUCCUACGGGAGGCAGCAGUAGGGAAUAUUGGGCAAUGGACGCAAGUCUGACCCAGCCAUGCCGCGUGCAGGAUGAAAGCGUUAUGCGUUGUAAACUGCUUUUAUAUAGGAAGAAACGACUCUUGCGAGAGGCAUUGACGGUACUGUAUGAAUAAGCACCGGCUAACUCCGUGCCAGCCGCCGCCGUAAUAC
rnacentral:rRNA from 1 species